GAUGAACGCUGGCGGCGUGCCUAACACAUGCAAGUCGAACGGAGUCCAGCCUUUAAGACCUUCGGGUCAAAGAGGGGAAGACUGAGUGGCGGACGGGUGAGUAACACGUGGGCAACCUGGCUCAUAGAGGGGGAUAACAGAGAGAAAUUUCUGCUAAUACCGCAUAAGCACACACUGCCGCAUGGCAGAGGGUGAAAAGAGAAUCGCUAUGAGAUGGACCCGCGUCCGAUUAGCCGGUUGGCAGGGUAAGAGCCUACCAAAGCGACGAUCAGUAGCCGAUCGGAGAGGAUGAACGGCCACGUUGGAACUGAGACACGGCCCAAACUCCUACGGGAGGCAGCAGUGGGGGAUAUUGCACAAUGGGGGGAACCCUGAUGCAGCGACGCCGCGUGAGUGAAGAAGUAUUUCGGUAUGUAAAGCUCUAUCAGCAGGGAAGAUAAUGACAGUACCUGAAUAAGAAGCCCCGGCUAACUACGUG
rnacentral:rRNA from 1 species